GAAACACCGUGUAAGAAGUCUGAUUACUCUAAGACCACCAUGAUGGAGAGAAGGGUCACUUGCAGCUGCUUCAGUUGCUGGUCACAUUGAACCCAUACCUCGAGCCACCCCUGCCAAGAUGCCAAACAUAGCAAAAUUUGGGAACAAAUGGAAACGUCUGUGGAUCCAUAGUUUCUGAUAUAACAAACAAGGCUUUAUGUUUAUAUCGCACUUCCACAUCAGAAGAACCUAUGGAAGAAUCUAGGAAAAUGCCUAGUGUCAACAUGAGGAAAGUACGUGGAUGGCAGCAGACUACCAGGACAUGAAAAUAGCAGCUCCUUCCUGACUUACUCUCUCUUGGAUCAAUUAC
rnacentral:lncRNA from 1 species